GACGAACGCUGGCGGCGUGCCUAAUACAUGCAAGUCGAGCGGACCAAUAGAAGCUUGCUUCUGUUGGUUAGCGGCGGACGGGUGAGUAACACGUGGGCAACCUGCCUGUAAGACUGGGAUAACUUCGGGAAACCGGAGCUAAUACCGGAUAAUUCAUCCCCUCGCAUGAGGGGAUGCUGAAAGUCGGUUUACGCUGACACUUACAGAUGGGCCCGCGGCGCAUUAGCUAGUUGGUGAGGUAAUGGCUCACCAAGGCGACGAUGCGUAGCCGACCUGAGAGGGGGAUCGGCCACACUGGGACUGAGACACGGCCCAGACUCCUACGGGAGGCAGCAGUAGGGAAUCUUCCACAAUGGACGAAAGUCUGAUGGAGCAACGCCGCGUGAGCGAUGAAGGCCUUCGGGUCGUAAAGCUCUGUUGUUAGGGAAGAACAAGUAUCGGAGUAACUGCCGGUACCUUGACGGUUCCUAACCAGAAAGCCACGGCUAACUACGUGCCAGCAGCCGCAGUAA
rnacentral:rRNA from 1 species